CAAGCACCUCAUUAGCAGAAUGAGGGGUGUCCCCUGUGUCGCCUGGGACUCCCAGUGAGGGAAGCAGAGGUGAAGCUGGCCGAGUGGGUAGGCGGGGUUUGCGUGCGCUGCAUUGUUGUGACAACGCCAAGUCCUUGCUGAUGCACCCAAGGCAGCAGGAGAACCAGGGGUACACAGAGCCCCCUUCCCGGGACCGGCAUGGGAGGGGGGGGAGGAGGAGGAGGAGGUGUCGGACAGGCAGAGGCUGCUCAGAUCCUCCAGCCCCAGGCCAGCCUGGAGUCCCCUGGACAGCAGAGGCCCGUGGGGAGGCUUCCUAGACCACAGCCCACAGCAAAGCCCUGCCCCUCGGCCUUGCCAUCAAGCCUGGUCCUGUCCAUGCCUCACAGCCCCAGCUGUGGGAGGGGCCUCAGGGAGCCAGCCCCAGGCCUGAGCAGUCCAGAGUUCGAAACAUGCCAGCACCCCAGACUCACACACUUUCCCUCUUGCUUCUCGCUUCUUGCUUUCGGGGAAGUCAAGAGCUCCGGGUCAGAGCGGGGCGCGGGGUUUCCAUGGAGGUGCCGGGUUCCUGGGAGGCUACCCUGUGGUCUGCUGGCUCAGGAAUUCCAACCGGCGUUCCUCCGCGUGGUCCGGCUUCCCAGCCGCCACGCCACAGCUCACCUGGGCACCUGCCCUCUGGGUGGGGCUUGACGUCUACACCUCCAGCUCCCUCCCUGGGCCCUCCUGCCUUUGUUCGUGUUUGCAUGCUUGCGCUUCCUUGUCCCUUGAAGAUCCCGAACUCCUGUGCACUAGGAAGAAACGCAGCCCAGGGGCCGGCGCUGUGAUGUAGCAGGGUAAGCCUCCGCCUGCAGCACCGGCGUCCCAUGUGGGCGCUGGUUCUUGUCCCAGCUGCUCGUGUUCUGACCCAGCUCUCUGCUACAGCCUGGGAAAGCAGUAGAAGAUGGCCCAAGUACCUGGGCCCCUGCACUCGCAUGGGAGGCCUGGAAGAAGCUCCUGGCUCCUGGCUUCGGAUCAAUGUAGCUCUGGCCGUUGCGGCCAUUUGGGGAGUGAACCAGCAGAUGCAAGAUCUCUCUGUCGGCCGGUGCCGCGGCUCACUAGGCUAAUCCUCCACCUUGUGGUGCCGGCACACCGGGUUCUAGUCCCGGUGGGGGCGCCGGAUUCUGUCCCGGUUGCCCCUCUUCCAGGCCAGCUCUCUGCUGUGGCCAGGGAGUGCAGUGGAGGAUGGCCCAAGUGCUUGCGCCCUGCACCCCAUGGGAGACCAGGAGAAGUAGCUGGCUCCUGCCAUCGGAUCAGCGCGGUGCGCCAGCCGCGGCGGCCAUUGGAGGGUGAACCAACGGCAAAGGAAGACCUUUCUCUCUGUCUCUCUCUCACUGUCCACUCUGCCUGUCAAAAAAAAAAAAAAAAAAAAAAAAAAAAAAGAUCUCUCUGUCUGUGACUCUGCCUUUCAAAUAAACAAAUAAAUCUUAAAAAAAAGAAACGCAGCCUAGGGGGAUGGGGCUGCCCUUCUCCGGGCCUCAGUGUACCUCACUGAAGAAUGGGAAUAGGCCUGUCAGAACCCCGGAGUCAGCGAAGCUGUUGGGGCCAGCGCUUGUUGGUGGGUGUGACUUUGUAGAUGAACUUGUAGCCAUGGUGGCAGGUCAGCUGCAUGGCAGGAGUACUGACUGGUGACUGGAAGGUGCUUUCUCCAAAGCUUCGGGUGUGGCUCGGGUGGCUGCGAUUUGCCGUGGGGCGUGCUGGAAGCUUCUUUGUGUAGCCUCCCCACGUGCCGCUUUGCUGUCUGCAGACACACUGCCCCCUCCUCCGCCCCUCUGCAGGUCUUCCCCACCCCGGGGUGGAUUCUUGGGAAUGAUUCACUCCAGAGGAGGCUGCGGGCUGGCCAGGCCAAGUCCCAGAAAUUGCAGGGGAGGCCCUCUGAGGGCAGUGCCCACUUGGCCCCGGGGAAGUGGCUCCAUCUCAUCCUGUGUGCUCAGGCGGCAGGCGGCCAGCCCGUCUGCCGAGCCAGUGUGCAGCGGGCAGACUGAGCAGGCCGGUAGCGUACGAGGGUGCACGGGCUGGCUGCUUUUCCCGGGGAUUCCGCUCUCACGCCGGCAGAGUUGCGGGCGUGGGACGGGAGGGCGUUGGCAGUAAGGUGCUUAUCCUGGGUGGAAUUUGUGUUGUCACACAAGCUUUUGGGCCGCCUGGGAGCCUCUACGGCCCCGUUUGUCAAAGCACUAAUCCUGAAUACGCUAGGGGGCGCCAGCCGCUGUUCAGACUUCCCGUGUCCUUGAACCCCUUUCCCUCACCCCACAGCCCUGAGCGACCAACAAGCCAGGGCACAGAGAGGGGAAGUGACUUGUACAAGGUCGCCCAGACUGGGAGUGGGAGAGGCAGGAUUUGAACCCAGGCCCUGUCCUCUCUGUGUACACGUGGCUACACCUCCAUGCCUUUCCCGCUGCCCAGCACGCAGGAAGCAGGUAGCAAAUGGCAGUUGUUGGGCAGGUUCUCAAGUCCCUGUGCCACACCCCUCCCUGGUGGGCAGCAGAGAUGGGUCUGGCUCGUGAAAUGCAGACUCCAGUCCUCCCACCCUCCCACUUCCCACACUCUCAUCAGCAACCAAGUCUCAACUCUCCCUCCUGUUCACUGUAAGCACGGGGCAAGGCACGGUCCGUCUCUGAGCCUCAGUUUCCCGAACUGUUAAAUGGGUGAAUUCAGCCUGCAACAUGGUUUUCGUUUAGCUCCUGUGCAGUGUGUGUGUGUGUGAUUUAUUUAAAAAAAAAAGAUUUAUUUUACUUAUUUGGGAGACAGAGUUACAGAGAGAGGUAGAGCCAGAGAGAGAGAGGUCUUCCAUUCCAUUGGUUCAUUCCCCAAAUGGCCGGAAUGGCCAGGGCUGGGCCAGACCAAAGCCAGGAGCUUCUUCCAGGUCUCCCACACAGGUGCAGGGGCCCAAGGACUUGGGCCAUCUUCUUCUGCUUUCCCAGGCCACAGCAGAGAGCUGGAUCAGAAGUGGAGCAGCCGGAACUCGAACCGGCGCCCAUAUGGGAUGCGGCACUGCAGGUCACAGCUUUACCCACUAUGCCACAGUACCGGCCCCAUAUGUGUGUUUCUUAACAUCCACAACGUUCAAACAUUUUGGAAAGAAAGUCCAGUUUGUCACUCAGAAACUCAGGCAGUCAGGCCCAGUUGAUCCGUGCCCCUUCCCCAUUGUCACCUGCAAGACCCGAGUGGCCUCAGACGCCCCUUGGCCUGGCGCCGUCUGCCGGGCUGAGAGGACGCCCUGAGCCUGCCUGGUGCCACUUGAACAAGCAGUUCCAGUGCUCGGAAAACAGCUCUUUUUUUUAAAUGACUGGUUGUGAUGUUCUCGCUGAGCCUGUUCAGCUCUGCUUUUCUUAGACAUUGGAGGCUGGCUGAGGCCUCCUGGUGCCUUGGGGAUUUUUUUUUUUUUUAAGAUUUAUUUAUUUGAGUGACAGAAACAGAGAGACGGAGCUGUUCAAUCUGCUGGUUCAUUCCCCAAAUGGCUGCAACCGCCAGGGCUGAGCCAGGCUGAAGCCAGGAGCCAGGAACUGCAUCUGGGCCUCCCACAUGGGUGCUGGGGCCCAAGGACUUGGGGCAUCCUCUGCUGCUUUCGCAGGUGCAUUAGCAGGGAGCUGGAUUGGAAGUGGAGCAGCUGGGACUCGAACUGGCAUUGCAAGUUGUGGCUUAACCUUUUCACAGCAGUGCUGGCCCCACCCUUGGGGCUUUUUACACACCCGGCCUUCGCCGUCAUUCCACACUCCCUGGGUCAGGAGCCUGUGGUUUCUGGCUCCUGUGUCCUGUAUCACAGCCCAUGGAUCCGAGUCCUGGCUGUUUUUAAUCCAGCUUCCUGGGAGGCAGCAGGUGACAGCUCAAGUACUUGGGUCCCUGCCAUCCACAUGGGAGACCUGGAUUGAGUGCCAGGCUCCUAGCUUCGGGCUGAUCUGGCCCCAGCUGUUGCUGGCAUUUGGGGAGUGAACCAGCAGACAGAAGCUCGCUCCCUUGUCUGUGUGCCUGGCAAAUAGUGAUGAAAGAGCCAGGCACGACUCUGACCUGAGAGGGUGACUUAGAAAUCGGGGUCCGUGCCCCUCCCUAGCCUGAAUGUGUGCUCGAAGCCCCUGGGGGUCUCAGUGCAGAGCAGGUGCAGGGAGCAGGUUAGGGUGAGGGCCACAGACUGCAUUUCUAACCAGCGUCCAGGGGACCCCGUUCCUGCUCAGCCAAUGAGCAGUUUGGCAUAGCAAGGCCCUGAUGAGCAGGUGACAGAGGGUGGCCCACGGGGCCGUACCUGCCCACCCCCAUUUCUCUAGAGCCUUCUCGUGGAUCUCACGCUCGUUGGGUUGUGUCCUGGCUGCAGCUGCCUUCGCGUCACAGAAGCAGAGUGGAGACCAGCAGUCCCCCGUCCAUGGCUGCAGCCAGCUACCCCCAGCAUCUGCAGUCAGCAAAUACCAUAUGGAAAAUUCCAGAAGGUCAGAGUGCGCGGUGACGGAGUGAGGAGUGUGAGGGAGCCGGAAGCCGUGCACUGCCUCACCCUGUGCCGUUGGGGAGCCUGCACCGCCCGCCGUCUGGGUGCCGUGCUCGGGUCACCCUUGUUUUACAUCACAAGGACCCCUGACCCGUGCUCUUGCGUCUCACUGAUUUUCUGUAUUAUUCCUUACUGUUGAUCUCUUGGCGUGCCCUGGAUGGGGGUACUGGGAGACCCUGGGGCCUGCUGUCUGCUCUUGGCUCUUGGCACUUGUCUCUUGGACCCCUUCAUGUUAUAAAACUUUGUGGUGGGGCCAGUGCUGUGGCAUAGCGAGUAAAGCCACUGCCUGCAGUGCCGGCAUCUCAUAUGGGUGCCGGUUCGAGUCCCGGCUGCUCUACUUCUGAUCCAGCUCUCUGCUGUGGCCUGGGAAAGUGCUACAAGAUAGCCCAGGUCCUUGGGCCCCUGCACCCGCGUGGGAGACCCGGAGGGAGCUCCUGGCUCCUGGCUCCAGAUCAGCGCAGCUCCAGCCAUUGUGGCCAUCUGGGAAGUGAACCAGUGGAUGGAAGCCUUCUCUCUCUCUCACUCUCUCUCUUUCUCUGCCUCUGCUUCUCUAUAACUUUGCCUUUCAAGUAUAUAAAUAAUAUAUAUAAUAUAUAAUACAUAUUAUAUAUUAUAUAUUAUAUAAAUAAUGUAUAUAAAGAUAUUAUUUAUUUACUUGGAAGUCAGAGUUUCACAGAGAGAGGAGAGGCAGAGUUAGAGAGAGAGGUCUUCUAUCCGCUGGUUCACUCCCCAAUUGGCCACAAUGGCUGGAGUUGCACCAAUCUGAAGCCAGGAGCCAGGAACUUCCUCCAGGUCUUCCAUGUAGGUGCAGGGGCCCAAGGACUUGGGCCAUCCUCUACUGCUUUCCCAGGCCACAGCAGAGAGCUGGAUUGGAAGUAGAGCAGCCUGGUCUUGAACUGGCGCCCAUAUGAGAUGCCGGCACUGCAGGCCAGGGAGUUAACCCGCUGUGCCAAAGCGCUGGCCCCGCAUAGUUUCCUUUGAGAACAGGUUUUACACACGGGCAGUCCAGCAACCCAAGCUCCAAGGGGCUGACGCUGAGCAGGUGGCACCCAGUGGGUGGGAGUUUGGGGAGCCCUGGGACAGGGGCGGGGCCAGCGGUGCUCAGCUGCCUGCCUGGGGCCGUGGGAGCCAUUGAGGGAGGCGGCUGGGUGAGCGCAGAGGGGAUGGUGGGGCUGAGGCCCUGUUCCAGCUGCUUCAUCCCAACCCGUCUGUCUUGGUCCCUGCUUGCGUCUCUGUCUCCUUCCACGCCAUCUCCUGGGUUUGUGUCUCUGCUCGUCUCGGUCUCCCUGCCUCUGCCCGCUGGCGCUCUCCUCUGCUGUGUCUCAUCUCUCUGUCCCUGUCUCCCUGACUGACUGGCUCUCUGCCUCUGGGUCCCCUGCUGCCUUCCUCCCUGCCCCUACACUCGCAGGCUCAUGUGCAUGCUUGCGUGUGCACACACACACUCACAGAUGCACACAUAUGCACUCAGGCGUGCACACUUAUAUGUGCACAUGCUCACACACACUCAGGCACACACUCAUGUGCACACUCACACACACAUGCACACACACUCAGGUGUGCAUACUCACGCAUGCACACGCUCACGCACAUUCGUGCCCACACUCAGGCGCACACUCACAUGUGCACACACUCUCACACAUAUGCACACACAUGCACACAUUCAGGUGUGCACACCCACGCGUGCACACACUCACACACUCAUGUACACACUCACAUACACACAGACUCAGGUGCACACACGCAUGCAAAUGCUCACACACACUCAGACUCACACUCAUAUGUGCGCACACACUCAUGCACAUGCACUCACAUGCACACACUCAUGUGCACACACGCUCACACACACUCAGGCACACACUCGCAUGCACACACUCACGUGCACACAGGCAGUGGCACAGCCUUCCCUGACUCAUCAGGUGCGCUUGCCCCACUUCCCCUGGCUGCCAGGGACCUCUGCUGCAGAACCUCCUGGAACCUGCUCAGGGCCCCCUGGGGCGUGGGGGGAGGACGGAGGCAGGCCCCUGCGUGCCCGAGGCUGGUGUGUGCCCUAUUCCUGCAGGGCCUCCCUGCCUGCCUUAGGGCUGUUGGGGAGGAAGAGGAAGGAAGGCUGGGCGGGCAGCAGCAGGCGGCAGGGCCGCUUUGGGUCUGGUUUGCGUUGGGGCCCAGAGCAGGGCGGUCGGCAGGCAGGCUGGGGGGUGCCGGGUCCUCUUCCUCUGAGGACCCCCAGUGCCUGCACACAGUAGGUGUCUGCCUUCUCUCUGUGGCUGCCUGCUCGCUGCCCUGCCCGAGCGCACAGUAGGCCAGGGGUGCCUCUUGGCUAAGAGCUUUGGGGAGAAAAAUGAGAUUGGAACCUGGGUCCAGCCCUGUCCUUCCCCAGAGGGGCACACUAAGGCCUUGGGCAUCGUGGAGGCUUUGGAGGAUGGAACGCUUGGGAGCGGGGUGUGAUGUGGGCGGAGGCGACGGCACCAUGUGACCCGUGCGUGGCCUGUGUCACACGGAAGCAGUGGCUCCCUCCUGCCUUUUCCUCCACCUCUGCUUGCGGGGGCCCUGCACUCUUGACGGGGGAGGGACAGGAAGAACCAAGGAGGAAGGACUUGUAGCUGCCUGCAUUGGUCAUCUGGUAAACCUCCAACUGUUGCUGAGCCAACAGGUGCCUGGGGCUGCGUCUAGGCUUGUCUGAGAGGCCUUGGAAGCUCAUGGUGACCUGGGGCACAGGCGUCGAGCAGGGGCCCCUGGUGGUGGAAAUGCGGGAGCUCUUGGGUCAGGCACACUGGAGCGAGACCCGCAGCUCUCUCUCUGGCUUGAGCUGCAGGACCUGAGACCUCCGGGUACACACAUGUUCUCUCUGUGGUAGUCAGUCCCCCCAACUCCCCUCAAACAGGGAUCAUAGCAAUGACCAUCUCGGGGCUGUCGUGGUACCUGGUGCACAGACGCACCCAGGAGCUCCUCCAAGGGUUUUGCUGUUCACCCAUUUUGCAGGUGAACAGGCUCAGAAGUUCAAGGCCUUCCUGGACAUGACCAGGCAAGUCUGCAGAGGGAACUGGCCACCAGCAAGAUCCCAGGCCCCCUCGGAGCCCCCAGCCCAAGGCUCUUCCCUUAUUCUGAACCUGCCGUUUCUCCUGCCUCAGUCACUCCAUGUGUGUGUGCAUGCGUGCAUGUGUCUGUGUGUGCAUGUGUGUCCAUGUGUGUGCACGUGUGUCCAUGUGUGCAUCUGUAUGUGUGUCCAUGCCUGUGUGCGCAUGUGUGUGUCCAUGUGUGCAUCUGUGUGUGUCCAUGUGUGCACAUGUGUCCGUGCCUGUGCGUGCGCGUGUAUGUCCGUGUGUGUGUUCAUGUGUCUGUGUGUGCAUCUGUACGUGUGUGUCCGUGUGUGCACAUGUGUCCAUGUGUGUGUCCAUGCCUGUGUGUGCGCAUGUAUGUCCAUGUGUGUGUCCAUGUGUGCAUCUGUACGUGUGUGUCUGUGUGUGCACAUGUGUCCAUGUGUGUGUGUCCGUGCCUGUGUGCAUGUGCGUGUGUGUCCGUGUGUGUGUUCAUGUGUCUGUGUGUGCAUCUGUACGUGUGUGUCCGUGUGUGCACAUGUGUCCAUGGGUGUGUGUCCGUGCCUGUGUGUGCGCGUGUAUGUCCGUGUGUGUGUUCAUGUGUCCAUGUGUGCAUCUGUACGUGUGUGUCCGUGUGUGCACAUGUGUCCAUGUGUGUGUGCCUGUGUGUGUGUGCAUGUGCAUGUGCGUGUGUGUGUCUGUGUGUGCAUCUGUACGUGUGUGUCCGUGUGUGCACAUGUGUGCGUGUGUGUGCAUGUGCAUGUGCUGUGUGCGUGUGCGUGUGUGUUCUCAUUCUGAGCAGGGCUGGAGGCCUUUGAAGCUCUUCCUGCUUCCAGGACCAAGCGAGGAGGCUCUGCCGGUUUCUCCGGCAGGACAGAGGGGUGGGUUAAUGCCUGCAGGAGAUGAGAGUCACAAGCCUGGCCACCUCGGAACGGGGCCAAGAAAUGACACCGUUCAAACCCCCACCCAAAUCCUGUCCCCUGCUAAUGCGCCCACGGUGUCCCUGGGACGGCAGCCUAAUGCCUCUUGGACGGACUACAAGAGAAGAUGGAGCCCGUCUAGCCCAGAACAUUGCAUGCAGCUGGUAUUUAUUAGUUGCUUGCUUUGUUCUUGGUGAAGCUUUUCCACCUUUUGGCCGGCAGCCACUCGCAAAGCCGCCACCACGAAGUCGUGGAAGGCGGUGUGAUCAGAAGUGCCGGCGGCGGGGGCGGGGGGUGGGGGUGGGAGGCAAGGGGAAGGCAGCUGGAGACUUCCUAAGCACCAGGCAUCUCAUCACCUUCUGACCUUUUUGCGCAGAUAUUCUGGAAUCUUCUUCCCAAGUGGAAACUCACAUCUGCAUUUAGGGGGCGGAAGGGAGAGUGGCCCCGGGCAGCCUCAGUGUUCCGUUGAGACUCCGGGUACACAUUUGGCUGCUUUUGCUGAGACAGACUUUCGAAGUCAGGCUGGUGCUGGGAGAUGACUGUGAAAACAGGAAGCAUGCUGAGGUCACAAAGAACCUACUAUGCGCCUUUGAGUGGCAACACUGUGAGUCAGUGACCGAAGGAAGGAAGGAAAGCAGUGACCUGGCCCUGGGACAUGGGAAGUUUCAAAGGCACAUUGUCUUCAGGUGCAGCUGUAUCCAGGUGCUCCUGUGGGUCAGGACACUGCCUUUUUUUUUUUUUUUUUUUAACUUACUUGUUUUAUUUGAAAGGUAGAGUUACAGAGAGAGAGAGAGAGGUCUUCCAUUUGCUGGUUCACUCCCCAAAUGGCUGCACCUGCUGGAGCUGGGCCAGGUUGAAGCCAGGAGAUUCUUCCAGGUCUCCCACCUGGUUGCAGGGGCCCAAGCACUCGGGCCAUCUUCCACUGUUUUCCCAGGCACGUCAGCAGGGAGCUGAAUGGGAGGUGGAGCAGCCGCGUCUCGAACCGUGGCCAGCACUGCAGGUGGCAGCUUCACCCUCUAGGCCACAGUGCCAGCCCCUGUUUGUACUCUUGAAGGAACUGGGGCUGGGCCAGGGUGAAGCCAGGAGCCUGGAACUCCGCCCUGGUCUCCCACCCGGGUGGCAGGGGCCCAUGUUCUUGGGCCGUCUUCUGCUGCCUUCCCAGGCGCCUUGGCAGGUAGGCCGUGCAAGAACUGGCCUUUCCUGCUGAAGUGGGAGUCCAGGAAGGGGCAGGAAGGGCCUGGCUUCCCCUUUCCCGAGAUCGCUCCUGAUGCUCGCUGCAAACAGACCCAGGAGACGCGGAGGGGAGCAGGGAGACCGGAGAAAGUUGCACAGCCCAAGGCGAGAGGCCACAGAGCAGGGUGGCCCCCCGGAGCACGCCCACCCGAGCGAGUGGUGAAGACAGGGGUAUGGCUGUGUCUGAAAGGUCCCAUUGGGGUGCGAGAGAAAGGCAAACAGCAGAGCUGCCCGCAGGGGUUCUGGCCCGAGGAUGAAAGGGUGGCGCUGCCAGGACCGGGAGGGGACACCGGGAGGACUUGGGAUGGCUGGGUUUGGCCCGGCCUAAGGAAAAACCCUGUAAACACACUCACACCUCGGGGUGGCAGAGAGCGAGCGAGGCGGAGCCAAGCGGCCCUCACUCCUGGGCGUGUGUGCACAGGCCAGUCCAGCCCGGCUGCUGGCUUACUGAGUGCGGGUCUGGGGGUCCUGGGUGCCAGCAGCUGGGGCGUGGCUGGCACGGUCGCAGGCCGAGGCUCACUCGGCCUGGGUGUUCCCUGUGCCGGCAGGGAGGGGGCCACUAGGGAGUGCGGAUGGAAUGGAUGAAUGAAUGGUGUGUCCCUCCGGGGCAGCCAGGGAUGGCGUGCGGGUGGCAGCGUCGGGCACAGCGCAGUUCCGAGACUGACCCACGGGGAAGGGUGUGCAUCGUGAGGCCAGCUCGAGGGGUUUUGUAGACAGAUGUGUCCCUGGGACCAGUUCCCAAAUCUAGAAAGGAAACCCAGCCCGCGCCCUCCCUGCACCAGGGCAUCCUGUGCCCCCUCCAGUCCCUGGGGCGGCCGGCCCCUAGUGGCUGCUGUCACUCAUUGCCCCACCCCUCUCUACUGGCCCUGGCGUCCCAGGGACCACGCACCAUGGUCGCUCUGCAUUGACUUCUGUUUCAGUACAGUCUGACUCCGUCUCCCGGCCGUCUGUCAUGUUCAUUUAUUUUUCUUUUUUCUUUCUUUUUUUUUUUUUUUUUUUUGACAGGCAGAGUGGACAGUGAGAGAGAGAGACAGAGAGAAAGGUCUUCCUUUGCUGUUGGUUCACCCUCCAAUGGCUGCUGCAGCUGGCGCACCACACUGAUCCGAAGCCAGGAGCCAGGUGCUUCUCCUGGUCUCCCAUGGGGUGCAGGGCCCAAGCACCUGGGCCAUCCUCCACUGCACUCCCGGGCCACAGCAGAGAGCUGGCCUGGAAGAGGGGCAACUGGGACAGAAUCCGGUGCCCCGACAGGGACUAGAACCCGGUGUUCCGGUGCCGCAAGGCGGAGGAUUAGCCUAGUGAGCCGCAGCGCCAGCAACCAUUUAUUUUUCCACCCUUCGGUGGACGCGCAUCAGAGCGUCCCUGGUGGCGGGGGGGGGGGGGCGCCGCUGGGGUUGCACUGACGUCUGUGCUGUGGUGAACGCCCAGGGGCGGAGUUGCUGCCGUCAGCUUUUCCGGAGGCCGGUGCCCGGUCAGCCUCCCAGCAUCAGAGCAGCCAGGGUCCGCUUGCAUCGCCGCCUCGCCAGCACUUGGGGUUGGCUUCACUUUCGUCAGAUGCAUAGUGACCCGACAGUGGAGUAUUAAAAAUUAUGGAUUUAUUUAAAAAGGGAGAGAGAGAGAGAGAGAGAGAGAGAGAGAGUUAUCUCCCACUCAUUGGUUCACUCCCCAAAUGCCCGUGAACAGCUGGGGCUGGGCCAGGCGGAAGCCAGGAGCCGGGAACUCCAUCUGGGUCUCCCGUGUGCAUGACAGGGCUCCAGUACUUGAGCCAUCCCAGGGUGUGCACUAGCAGGACGCUGGAUUGGAAGCAGAAGCAGCAGGACUUGAACCGUGCACUCUGAUCCGGGGCACAGGGCCCCAUGCAGCAGCAUAACCGCUCUACCAGGCAUCCACCUCCCUGGCCACGUGCUUUUAGUUUGCAUUUAUUCCCUGGAUAGUGAGAUGGUGCGCCUGCCAAACACUUUACUGACUGUUCAGAUAACCUCUUUGGUGAACUGUCUCUUCAGACUCGCCUUUCCCGUUUCUUAUUGAUUUCUCAGAGCUCUUUAUAUAUUCCAGAUACAGGUCUUUUGUCUAGUGGGUAUUGUAAAUGUCUCCUUUUGCCUGUGGCUUCGUUGAGCAGCAAGAGGAACAAGCAGGAGCUCUGAGCCUUGGACUCCUUGAUUUGAGCACAAGGCAAGCCCAUCCCCUGUGCGAGCCUCAGUUUUCCUUCCUACAGCCUGCAGAACGUUAACCCAUUGUCUGUGGCUUUGAUUAGCACCUUUGCUAGCAUAAGAAAGCCCUGAACUAAAAUGGGCAAAACUGGCCCAGUGGGGUUUUCUCAUCAAAGUCCUCCCUGUUUCUCAAGGAAGUUCUGCAGGCAUCUAUUGAGUACCUAGUGUAUACCAGGCUCCGGGCUGGGCGCUGCAAGCACAGCCGUGGGGGCAGGUGUUUGGCCUCAGAGAGGAGAUGCCAGUCAGAGUGCCCACACCCCAUAUCCAAGCUCCUGGAUUUCAGUCCUGGCUUCACCCCUCAAAUGGCUGCAAUAGUUGGGACCAGGACAGGCCAAAACCAGGAGCCUGGAACUCCAUCUGGGUUUCCUACGUGGGUGCAGGGAUCCAAGCUCUUGGGCCAUCCUCCGCUGCUUUCCCAGGCACAUAAGCAGGGAGCUGGACCGGAAGUGGAGCAGCUGGGACUUGAACUGGCGCCAGUAUAGGAUGUUGACAUUGUAGGCAGCGGCUUAACCCGCUGCACCACAGUGCAGGCCCCAUCACAGGACGCUUGAGGCAGGAGCCCCGCGGUUGGACGUCUGAGCUGGGUGUACAAGUGUACCCGUAGGGAGAUUGGAAUAGAAGGGCUGCGCUGCAGUGCGGAGAGGAGCCUGGAUGCCCCAGGUGUCCCCACUGUCGCCGAUCCACGGGUGAACGCCCAGGCUAGACCCAGGGGAAGGAGGAGCCUUCCGGGGAGGCGGGACUGGCCCAGGGCCGACCGCUCCUUCAAAGCCCUCAUGGCCAGACGCCAGCAGGAGAGACUUCAGCUACCGCUGCUCCCUCUCACCUGCCAGCCCCGGCCUGGCCCUCCCCUUCCCCGGCUGCUCCACUUCCUGAGUUUGCAGGUGCAAGCCCGCACCUCCCUGAGCUGUAUCUCCGUGUUCGGUCAAGUGUUCUGCACCUGCCCAGGUUUGAUGCCCCAUCUCUUGCUGCCCAGCCCUCUUUUCCACCCCCCUUACCUGCUGUGUGACCCUAAGCAAAUAGCUUUCUGUCUCUGGGGGCUGCCGGCUUUGCCCGGCCUUACUCCUGUCAUGCCUGGUGCUCAGGAAACCUCAGAAAUGCCCACGGGUGACAGGUCUUCCUGGAGUGGGGCCUGGGGGUGGCACAGCGGAGACCCAGCUGGUAACGUGCAGAUGGCACUCUGGGUUUGUGGGUGGCUUCUUCAGUCUCUGCGUUAUGGUCCCAUUUCACUGCCGAGAAAGCCGAGGCCCAGGUGAAGCGCCUUGCCCAGGGCCACACAGCUUUGCAGAGGCAGAAUUCGGAUGAGGAAUGCUGAGUUUGCAGGUGCAAGGCCGCACCUCCCUGGGCUGUAUCUCUGUGUUCGGUCAAGGGUCUUGCACUUCUCUGAGCCUCAGUUUCUGCAUCUGUCAAAUGGGCUGGGUGCUGAGCAGUGCCCAAGGCUCAUUGAUUGAUCUGCCUGGGAGCCCUCCCUGCAGCCCUCCGCGGCGUGUGCUGUGAGCCCAUUCAUCAGCAGAGGGAACCGAGGCUAAGCCAUGCCACCUGCUGCUGGGGUCCCACUGCCGCUGGGCUCCGGUGCCCUUGGCCUCCACCGCGCAGCUCUCUGGGGGUGCCUGUUGCACACAGGCAGAGUGGGUUUGCCCGGUGCCCAGCCCAGGCAUCCGUCCUGCAUGGCUGGACGUGAACAGGCCCAGGAGUAGCCGUGCCGGUGCCCACGAGCUGUCUCCCUCCCUCCCUCCAUGCUGGGUGAGCGCUUAUCCAUCCACCUUCCUGCUCUAAGCUGAUUCUGACAGCCAGAGCGGUUGGUCAGGAAGGUGGCCCAGGCCGGGGCCAGAUCCUACGAGUCAGAGCAGGGAGAGGCCUUAGAAGGGAGUCGGUCCCCGGUGCUGGUUGCCUGGAUGCCUCGUUCAGCCUCACUCACCGCAUCUGGAAAAUGGGAGGAAUCGCCAGUGUAGCACAGAUGGCGAGGUGCACCAGUGCAGAGUGGGUGCCAAAGGGGCGCUGGCCCAGUGCUGGGGGAUGGGUCUGGGGCGGGGGGUGCUGCUGAGAUAGGAAGGGCGUGUGGCUGGCAGCUUAGGCGUCUGUCGGGGAGGCCUCAGCUGGGGGGAGGUGCCCUGUAGCUGCCGGGGCUGCUGGGGAGCGAUUAAAAGAGGGAGAGAGCCACGGGGGUCCAGCCUGGUGAGGGGCUUGUCUGGGUGCUGGGGCUUCGCCUGCGUUUACUGAAGUGGCCACCGUCCUAGAACAGGGCCUGGCACAUGGUAGGUGCUCAGGCACCUGGCAGGAGGGAUACGUAGGGUGACAGGGAGGACUUUAAGGUGAGGGGAGCAGGUGAGGUUCAAAAGUGGGGGAAUAAUCCAGGGCCUCUUAGCUGGGGUUUGCUGACGUCUGGGGCUCUGUGAUCGGUGGUGGUGGGUGGCAGAGAAAGGCAGACGGACAGACGGAGCCCCCGGCCACUGGGUCGCUCCCCAGAUGCCUCCGGCGGCUAGGGCGGGAUUGGAGCCGAAGCUGGGAGCCAGAAACGUGGUGCGGGUCUCCCACGUUGGGGGCGGGAAGCAAUCAUGGGAGCCAUCACCUGCUGCCUCCCGGGAGGGGGAGCUGCGAGUGGAAGCUGGGUGCUCCAGAGUGCCUUCACCCGCGUCCUAACUGCCGGGCGAGGGGCCCGCUCCCUGUAGGAUAACAGCAGCAUCCCCAGCCUCUCCCAUUGGAUAGCCCCCAGCCAUCACAACUGUCUCUGGAUACCGCCUGUUGUCCCCUGAGGGACUGCUUGAUGGGCUGGCGGGCGGGUGGAAGGAGGGUGAGGCCCCGCGUCCUUCCCGUUCGACAGACACUUGGUUGUGACCUCCUGGAGAACACAGGUGCACCUGGCUCCUGUCCGAACUGCCCAGCUGGGGCCACCUCUUAGAAAAGAGACAAGGGGCCAGUGCCGUGGCUCACUUGGUUAAUCCUUUGCCUGCAGUGCCGGCAUCCCAUACGGGCGCCGGAUUCUGUCCCGGUCGCUCCUCUUCUAGGCCAGCUCUCUGCUGUGGCCCAGGAGGACAGUGGAGGAUGGCCCAGGUGCUUGGGCCCUGCACCCGCAUGGGAGACCAGGAGGAAGCACCUGUCUCCUGGCUUCGGAUCAGUGCAGCGCUGGCCAUAGCAACCAUUUAGGAGGUGAACCAACAGAAGGAAGACCUUUCUCUCUGUUUCUCUCUCUCUCACUGUCUAUAAUUCUACCUGUCAAAUAAAAAAAAAAAAAAAAAAAGAAAAAGAAAAAGAAAAGGGACCAGAGGACAGGUUGGAGGUUUUGCUCUAGAGACUUAAAGCAUUUCUCAUGUCCUUUUUAUUGACUGAUUUAUUUUUAUUUUUAUUCUUUCUUUGAAAGGCGGUGGGCCCCACCUUGUGGCACAGCUGGUUAAGCUGCCACCCUGUAAAUUCAGCGUCCCAUUUCAGAACGCCGGUUCGAGUCCCGGCUGCUCCGCUUCAGAUCCAGCUCCCUGCUAAUGUACCUGGGAAAGCAGCAGAGGGUGGCCCCAAGUGCUUGGGCCCCUGCACCUGCGUGGGAGACCUGGACAGAGUUCCAGGCUCCUGGCUUUGGCCUCUGUCAUUUUAUCUUUUAAAUAAACAAAAUAAAUCUUUAAGGGGGGGGGGGCAGCGAGACAGAGAGAGAGAGAGAGAGAGGAGUUUGCUUUACUCCCCGAAUGCCUGCAACAGCUUGGGCUGGGCCAGGUCAAAUCCAGGAGCUGUGGGCUCCAUGCAGGUCUCCCACGUGGGUGGCAGGGACCCAAGUACUUGAGCCGUCACUGCUGCCUCCCAGGGCGUGCGUGAGCAGGACGCUGGACCGGAAGCAGAGCCAGGAUUGGAAUGCAGGUGCCCUGGGCAGCUUAACCACUAUACCAGACACUCGCCCCUGGCUUGUUCCGUUUAAUGUGGAGAUUGAUCAUAGCUGUGAGUGGAACAGUUCAGUGGAUUUUUCAAAUGGGAGUGAAACCCCGGGCUGGCCCCAAGCUGUGUGAAUUUGAUGCAAGCGUGCACUCAGGGAGUGCAUGUCGGCACCUGGCUCGCAGUGGGAAUGUAGCCAGAGCCCAUUAUGGUGCUGCUACGUCCUCCCAGCUCCCCCUAGGCGGAAGCAGCCAAAACUGUGUGUGUUCAGGCUGGAGCUCAGAGACCAAGAGGCACUUGCCCAGAGCCGCACAGCAAAUAGGACCGAACCUCGGACCAGGCCAUUUCUCCUCUGCCACCUCAGCCCCGGCCAGGCUCCUGGGCCUCCUGGCCAUCAGACCUGUGCCCUGAGGCCGGGUGAGCUGUUCCAGCCUCCUCCCCACCCCCAGCUUGGCUGACACCCACCAGGAAGCAGGCAGGGCCGGAAGUGGCAGGGGACAGACCGUGUGGGAGUUGUGCUGUGGCUUUGCCUGACAGCACCGGGAAGACCGCCAGGGACAGGGAGCCUGGGACGGGGGGACCUUGGCAGGUCUGGUCUCUGUAGGUGGGCACUGACGGCCAGCCCCGUGCAGCUUCUCUUCUGCUCAGACAUCUGCUGUGGCUCCCUAGAACCUCAGUCUAAAUUUGCCUUCCUGUGCCCGCUGGGUUAGCACCGCAUGUCCUACAAAAGACUCUCCGUGUGACAGCUGGCUGUGAUCGGAGGAGCUGGAGCACUUGCCGGCAGCCGGGCCUGGCGCUAAAUAUCUCGUGCGUGAUAUCUAAUUGAAUCCUUGUGAGAGCCAAGUGGCUCUGCUUCUUCCUAUUUUGCAAAUGAGGAAAGCGAUGCCGUGGAGGUGGGGUGUCUCGCCCAGGGUCCCAGAGCUCGUGGUGCAGCCGGGAUCUGCCGCCGACUCCAGAGCUGCGUCUUUUUCUUUCUCUUUUUUUAAGAUUUAUUUAUUUAUUUGAAAGGCAGAGUUACAGAGAGACAGAGACAGAGAGGGAAGUCUUCUAUCCACUGGUUCACUCCCCAGAUAGCUGCAAUGGCCAGAGCUGCGCCUAUCCGAAGCCAGGAGCCAGGAGCUUCUUCCGGGUCUCCCAUGUGGGUGCAGGGGCCCAAGCACUUGGGCCAUCUUCUACUGCUUUCCCAGGCCACAGCAGAGAGCUGGAUCGGAAGUGGAGCAGCCGGGACUAGAACCGUCUUUAACCAGGAGUCAUCCUGCUUGGUCUUGUCUGGAGAGUGCACCAGUGUGGUGCCAGCAGAAGUGACCCUGGGAGCAUAGGCGGCAGCUGGGCUGGGGGUCUUCAGGGCGGGGCUUGCUCUGACGUUGCCUGGACCCUCCCAGAGCUUUCCACAAGGCCGCACCUCACUCUGUUCUGGGGCCCAAGGUCGCGAGUGACGUAACAAACCAAGACGUCACCCCAGUCUCGUUUUUCCAUUCUCUUUCUCUGUACCACAUGGUUGGUAUAGCUACUACUGAAUCGUUGGCAAAUUCAGAAAAUGGGGGGGUGGGGGUUAAGGAAGUUCAGCAAGUUCAUGGAAAAUGCAUAUGGGGGGGGGGAGAAUCGUACAUAGAAUUCAAAAAUGUGUUCGACAGAACAAACUUAUCUUUUCAUUCCACUUUGUGUGAACCUUUUGCAGUACCCUUGUAUGAAGCCGCAGGUUACAUUUUAUCCAGUAAUGAAUGCAUUUGUUUUAUUUGGGAGAGACAGAGCGAGAGCUUGCUUCCCAGAUGCCUGCGAGGCCUGGGGCUGGGCCAGGCUGCAGCUGAGAGCCAGGACAUUAGCCAGGGCUCCCAGGUGGAUGACAGGGCCGGGAGGACCUGAGCCCUGGCCUGCUGCCUGCUAGGGUGUGCACUGGCAGGAAGCUGGAUGUGGGAGUGGAGCCAGGCGGCCUCGAGGCCCAGUGCUGCCCGGAAGCCCUGGCUUGUAUCCUAGGGUGUUUCUUGAGAGAUUUCUUUUUUCCUCCCAACAUCUUUACCAGAAUGGAGCAGAUAACCUGUUCAUCCCCUGACCUCUGACCCCAGAUAAUGAGUGCUUUUGCCUGGGCCUGUCUACGCCCACGCUAUGCGGUGUGGACUGUUUAUUCCCUAAUUAAGAGAUGAUGAGAAAUUAAUGGCUGGCGUUUACGGAACAGCUCCUGCUGCCAAGUCCCGCCCCCAGCACUCGCCCAUCACCCCUCACAGCCGCCCUCCGAGGCAGGCGAUGCAGUUCCAUUGUACAGACGAGCAGGUUGAGGCUGCUGAAGUUAAACUGCCCCGGGUCCUCGGCAGAGCCGCUGGUGGCCCCCGGGCCCUUCAGCGCUGGGCCCCUGUGACCUGCGCUUGUUCCCCUGUGCUCUCUUACUGCCGUGCGUCCUGGGGGCUAGUGGGCAGGCAGGGUGCUGGCCGGGGAAGGGAGGAAGACCGAUUAGAAGUCAGAAUGCUUGGAACAGCUCUCCAGGGCCAGUGACGCACCUGCCUGCAGGAACUCAAUGAGCCACGUGCGUGUGUGUGGUGUGUGUGUGUGCGCGUGUGCGUGUGUGUCUGUGAGAUCCAGACCGCCAUCCCCGAGCCUCCAGGGUGCUUCUGGGGGUUGCCGGAUAUGGUGCUGUCCCAUCCGUAAAGGUAUUUAGCAUGUAGGAGCUCAUAGCCUGGAGAAGGGAUCCAGAGCUCCGGGAGGUCACCUGCACCGCCUGAGUCCCUGGGAGGCAUGGCCAGUGCCGGGUGCUCCUCCGGGCACCAGCAGGUGUCACUCAGUCCCACGUGGGUGCCACCCGGACCAGUCACGGGGACUGACACCUUCUGUAAUCACUGAGUCGUCGGCCGUGAACGCCUUUGGGCAUCAGGAGCCAGGAGGAGGACUUGAACCCAGGUGCUCUGACGGGGGACGCGGGUGCCUUCACCGCUUCCCAACCACUGGGUUACACGCUGGCCCUAAAGAGGACUUUAUAUUCCCAGCACAGAAAAGUGAUAGAUGGUGAGAUGCACAGGCAAAGUAACCCUGACCUGAUUACUCUGCAUCACACACGGAUGGAGCUGUCACUCUGUACCCCACAAACACAUAUGGUGAACAUCAGUGAAAAGAAGCAGCCAUUGAGCCCAUUUCACAGAUAGGGAAACUGAGGCCUGAGGCUCGAGGUGGACUUGACGCUGCGGAGGGUCUGGGAGAGAGGCAGGUUCAUGCCCAUGUCAGCUGACGGCUCACCUGGGCUCUGUGCACCUGCCUGUGCCUCCCUCAUCCACUGCCGCUCAGCUGAGAAGAAGAACCUCUUUCUGCUUUCCCCUGGGGCCCUGUGCCCAUGUCUAUGGCCAAGGUCACUCCUGCCCCCAGCGCACACCACGGUCCUGACCUGAGCUAAAAAUUCAAGAUCACGUACGUGCCAGUGUGGGAGGCCAGCAUGGACAGAAGGCGUGCUGCUUCUGUAAUAGUUUUUUUAAUUAUUUUAAUAUUUUCUUUCUUUAUUUGAAAGGCAGAGUAGAGAGAGAGAGAAUUCUUUUCAUCCAUGGUUCGCUUCCCUAAUAGCUGCAUCGACUGGGCUUGGGCCAGAUUGAAGCCAGGAGCUUCCCCCAAGUCUCCCACGUGGGUGCAGGGCCCCAAGCACUUGAACCAUCCUCUGUUGCUUUCCCGGGAGUAUUAGCGGGGAGCUGGAUUGGAAGUGGAGCAGCUGGGACUCGAACCGGUGUCCGUAUGGGAUGCUGGUAUUGUAGGCGGCGGCUUUACCCGCUACGCCACAGCACCGGCCCCUGUAAUGGUUUGGUUUUUUUGUUUGUUUGUUUGUUUGUUUGACAGGCAGAGUGGACAGUGAGAGAGAGAGACAGAGAGAAAGGUCUUCCUCUGCCGUUGGUUCACCCUCCAAUGGCCGCCGCGGCCGGCGCACCGCGCUGAUCCAAUGGCAGGAGCCAGGUGCUUCUCCUGGUCUCCCAUGGGGUGCAGGGCCCAAGCACCUGGGCCAUCCUCCACUGCACUCCCUGGCCACAGCAGAGAGCUGGCCUGGAAGAGGGGCAACCGGGACAGAAUCCGGUGCCCCGACCAGGACUAGAACCCAGUGUGCCGGUGCUGCAAGGCGGAGGAUUAGCCUAGUGAGCCGCGGCGCCGGCCCACCUGUAAUGGUUUUUUAACUCCCCCUUUCAUUUACUUAUUUUAGAGUACGUGAUGUUGUUACGGAACAGAUGUACACGGUUAGUAAAUUCCAGUCACCCCACUGCCCUGAAAAGCAUUUUCAUUUUCCACGGACACAUUCACAGACCCCCAGAGUCAUGCACCAUCCCGAGCUGCUCCGUGGGAUCAACAGUUCCCACGCCCCGAGAACGGCCUCAGACUUCACGUCCAGAAGGCAGACUCCGAACCCAGCAGGAUGGAUAUUUACAGACACAGUGCAGGAAAAAAACCAAAACACGUCAGCAGUUUUGUCCAGUGCUUUCUCUCCAGCAUAAGACAGACGCUGCAGAGAGGGGAGUCGCCGAUUGUCUCUGGGUCCCAGAAAGGGGACUUUGAGCCAAAAACCACAAACACAGUGUGUUUGCCACAGCCUUCCAGCGGUCCCGAGGUCAGUCCGCGGCAACUAGGCAUGCGCACAAGUUUCGAAUCCUCACUGGCUGACUUUGGUCAUCCGUGGUGGCACCUAGCUCCUUGCUGUCUGUGGCGUUCCUGGGGUGGUUCAUUUAUGAGAAAACUGGCAGGGAAGAGAGAGAUUAUGUGGCUGGUGCUGCGGCUGGUGAAGCCACUGCCUGUGACACUGGCAUUCUAUGUGGACGCUGGUUCAAAUCCUGACUGCUCCAUUUCCGAUCCAGCUCUCUGCCUGGGGAAGCAGUAGAAGAUGGGGUUGAAGUGCUUGGGCCCCUGCACCCGCGUGGGAGACCCAGUUGAAGCACCUGGCUCUUGGCUUUGACCUGGCCCAGCCCCAGCUGUUUGGGCCAUCUGGGGAGAGAACCAGCAGAUGGAAGAUCUCUGUUUCUCUCUCUCUCUCUCUCUAACUCUGCAUUUCAAAUAAGUACAUUAAAAAAAAAAAAAGCUAUAUCACACCGAAGCCAAAGCAAGGUAGCAGGGAAGCAGGGGUGCAGGUUACCGUGCUUAGGAAGGCCCUGGUCCUCGGGUGUCCACACCUUGCUCCCAAAUACGCCACUGGGCUUUUCUGCACGUUCCUCCCCUGGCUUGUGCUUGCUGUGGGCAGAGGGAGAUGUUUCCAGCCCCCUGCCCCUGAGAGCCGUCGCCUGGGUGUCAGCAGGGGCCGGCAGGGGUUUAUUGAUCAGAGGCCCCGGGCCACCUUCAGGGGCCUAGGAAUUUGGAUGGGCACCUCCUCUGACGCCCCCCACCCCCCGCCCCGGUGUGGACGCAGGCACCAGGUCACGGUAGUGGUGGCAGCACCUGGGCCACCCGCAACAGCUAUGCGUCUUUUUAUAGCAUGUUUCAGUUCCUCACUCAGUCUCAUCUCUGCGUGAGCAUUUGGUCAGUCACCCACCGGGUGCCAGAGCUGAUGUACGGCCUGCAUAGGAGGAGCAUGCACGUUACCCGGCGCCGGGGCUGCCUGGCCAGCCAUCCGCAGACUCCGUGCUCCAGGCCGGCGGGUAGCACUCUUGGGCUUGCUCUCUGGCCUCAGACAGCUUCGAGACAGGAGCCUGUGUGUGUGUGUGUGUGCGCGUGCGAGGUGCAGGAAGCCCCGGCCCUGCAAGGUCACCUGGCUGUUUCCUGUUUGUGACCUUCACCGGGCGGAGUCCCCCGUGCGUUGCUGCACAGGAAGCCCAGAGCAGGGGCUGCGGCAGGGGCUGGGGCACAGCAGGGAGUCCCUGCCCAGAGCAGCAGCCGGACUGGGCGCAGACAGCUUCCCCAUCUGUGACCGGAGCUCUGGCAUCAGAUGGACUUGGAGUCCAGCUCGGGCCCAGGCACUUCCGAACUGGGUGGCCACUGACUUCGAAGCACUUCACUUCUCCAAGCCUCAGUGUUCCCGUUCUGUAAAAUGGAGCUAAUGCUAGCACCCAGCCUCCUAAAAGCUGCAUAGAACCGCCGUGCCCACGCCGCUUUGCUUUCUGGCAUGCCCCAUUUUUCUCAUAUUCACUGAAGCUGACCCCCUGGAUCUUCUCCCCUUUGGCUCUCUUGAGCUGAGCCUCAGAACUAAAAUCCCCACGUUUGCGUUUUGCAGGUUUGCUCAGGUUGCCCUAGGAGCCUGGGAUCCGCUUAGCAUCAUCCCAUACUGCAGGGCAGGAGGUGGGCGGGCAGUGACCCCCAGGACACAUCUCACUCACCCUGCCUGUCUUUGCAAAUAGUCUUCCUGGCACCCAGCCAUGUCUGUGCACGUCUGUGUUGUCUGUGGCCACUUCUGCCCUACCACAGGCAUGUUGAGUGCUCGCAGCAAAGACCACUGGCCCACGGAACCAGAGACGGAAGCUUUUGCCAUCCCCGAUAAAGACGGUAGAACAGGCUCUAGAGAGUUUGGGGCACGGGUACAGGAAAAGAAGUCACCGCAGGCCCCAUACUGCCCGGCCACGUGUCCCUUAUCUUCUGUUCCUCCCACUCAUCCUCCACGUGCGUCGAUGACCACAAUAAGAGGAUUAAGCACGUUCAUUUUUUUUUUUGCAUAUUGUCUUUUUUUUUAAUAUUUUUGUUUUUUUAUUUGAGAGAUAGAGUUACAGACAGCAAGAGGGAGAGACAGAAAAAGGUCUUCCAGCUGCUGGUUCACUUCCAAAAUGGCCACAGAGCUGAGCCAAUCCAAAGCCAGGAGCUUCUUCCGGGUCUCCCACAUGGGUGCAGGGGCCCAAGGACUUAGGCCAUCUUCUAUUGCUUUCCCAGGCCACAGCAGAGAGGUGGAUCGGAAGUGGAGCACCUGAGACACCAACCAGCGUCCAUAUGGGAUGCCGGCGCUGCAGGCAGGGGCUUCUUCCACUACGCCACAGCGCCAGCCCCAGCACACUGUCUUAAUGAAAGUCCCAAAAUUCCUCUUGAUGCCUUUUGCUCCAGGUGUCAUUCCCAUUUCUCAGAGACGAACACUGAGGCUUUGGAGAGCUACCCCAGAUGGACCCAGGAUGUCCGACCUUGGAUUGGGAGGGGGGGCAGGACGUGACUGCUGGCCUCAUCGCUCCUCACCCCCAGCUGAACUGAGCCUCGGCGGGGAGUGGGGGAGGGCUGGGACCGCAUGUGGGGACCCUGAUCUGAUGUAGGGAAAGAUCUAUGAAGCAGGGCAGGGAGCCGCCCCUGACCCAGUUCGGGUGCUGUUGUGCUCAGAGUCCUGGGCUCACUCUCCCUCCGUCUCGUGCCCUGGGAGUCUGGCUGGCUUUCCCUGAUGUGGCUCAAAGGGUGCUAUUUGCUUCCCAGGGGACCUGCAUGAGAGAGGGCUGUGGGCUCCCUAGCUCUGCACGGGGCACGCAGGGCAUGGCGGGCGGGUAGUGGCGGCCAUGGCAAUGGAAUGUUUGGGAGGUGGUUCCCACGGAGCGGGAGUGCUGGGCCUCCCUCCAAGGCCGCCACGUGGUGCCGCGACCUGCUUCCUUAGCCGGCUUUGUGUGCUCCACCACCCAACCCCCUCCCCCGUCCACUUUUUUCCCGGGGAACCUCCUGAUCUGCUAAGCGCAGAGAAAUGAGGAUUUUACAGUGCGGAUGAGUUUGAGCCUGAACCAGCGUGGCUUCAGUGUCAUUGUCACCUCCUGCUCUGACCCCCAUGGAAGGCCUGCACCUGCCUCUGUGAGCAUUUAUCCCCGGAGUCCUGGCACGCGCUGGUGUCCUUGUCCCCUGCCGAGGUGUCAGCUCCACGAUGGAACCCAGCAGCUUAAGCAGUGCCCAGCACAUAAGGGCUGAGAAUGCCCACCUCGCCCGGUCCUGCUGAAAACGAGGGCCGGUACCUAAGGUGGUGGUGAUGCUUGCCGCUGGCCAUCCACUGACACGACCGACCCACCUCCUCCCCCGGCUCCUGCGAGGUGCUGCUUGGCUCUCCCAGCCCCGGUUCCAGUGCCCAGUCGCCACGUGGGAGCCUCCUAGUGGGGAUUGUCAUUAUCCCCAUUUUACAGGGCUCUGUUGGCACACGGCCGUGGUGAGCAGGUGCGCAGGCUG